UACGUAGGGUGCAAGCGUUGUCCGGAAUUAUUGGGCGUAAAGAGCUCGUAGGCGGUCUGUCACGUCGGCUGUGAAAUCCCGAGGCUCAACCUCGGGUCUGCAGUCGAUACGGGCAAACUAGAGUAUUGCAGGGGAGACUGGAAUUCCUGGUGUAGCGGUGAAAUGCGCAGAUAUCAGGAGGAACACCGAUGGCGAAGGCAGAUCUCUGGGCCGUAACUGACGCUGAGGAGCGAAAGCAUGGGGAGCGAACAGG
rnacentral:rRNA from 1 species